rnacentral:rRNA from 1 species
AUUGAACGCUGGCGGCAGGCUUAACACAUGCAAGUCGAGCGAGCGGCGGACGGGUGAGUAAUGUCUGGGAAACGGCCUGAUGGAGGGGGUUAACUACUGGAAAGGGUAGUUAAUACCGCAUACCAUAAGAUGUGCCCAGAUGGGAUUAGCGAGUUGGGGGGGGUAUGGUGCACCUAGGAGACGAUCCCUAGCUGGUCUGAGAGGAUGAGCAGCGCUACUGGAACGGAGACACGGUCCAGCAUCCUACGGGAGGCAGCAGUGGGGAAUAUUGCACAAUGGGCGCAAGCCGGAUGCAGCCAUGCCGCGUGUGUGAAGAAGGCCUUCGGGUUGUAAAGCACUUUCAGCGAGGAGGCGUUACUCGCAGAAGAAGCACCGGCUAACUCCGUGCCAGCAGCCGCGGUAAUUC